AGAGUUUGAUCAUGGCUCAGGACGAACGCUGGCGGCGCGCCUAACACAUGCAAGUCGAGCGAGAACCAGGGCUUGCCCUGGGGACAGCGGCGAACGGGUGCGUAACACGUGAGCAACCUGCCCCAAAGACCGGGACAACCCGAGGAAACUCGGACUAAUACCGGAUGCCCUCACCGGGUCGCAUGGUCUGGUGAGGAAAUGGAUUCCGCUUUGGGAUGGGCUCGCGGUCUAUCAGCUUGUUGGUGGGGUAACGGCCUACCAAGGCAACGACGGAUAGCUGGUCUGAGAGGACGAUCAGCCACACUGGGACUGAGACACGGCCCAGACUCCUACGGGAGGCAGCAGUGGGGAAUCUUGCGCAAUGGGGGAAACCCUGACGCAGCGACGCCGCGUGCGGGAUGAAGGCCUUCGGGUUGUAAACCGCUUUCAGCAGGGACGAAAUUGACGGUACCUGCAGAAGAAGGCCCGGCCAACUACGUGCCAGCAGCCGCGGUAAUACGUAGGGGCCUAGCGUUGUCCGGAAUUAUUGGGCGUAAAGAGCUCGUAGGCGGUUCGGCAAGUCGGAUGUGAAAUCUCCACGCUUAACGUGGAGGGGCCAUUCGAAACUGCUGUGACUCGAGUCGGGUAGGGGAGUGUGGAAUUCCCGGUGUAGCGGUGAAAUGCGCAGAUAUCGGGAGGAACACCAGUAGCGAAGGCGGCACUCUGGGCCGGUACUGACGCUGAGGAGCGAAAGCGUGGGGAGCGAACAGGAUUAGAUACCCUGGUAGUCCACGCCGUAAACG
rnacentral:rRNA from 1 species